rnacentral:misc_RNA from 1 species
GCUUGCUGCUCUUUUAAUCUUCUUUUCUUUAUGCAUUAUGAAUGAAUCUAUCAUAUAUUGUAACUAACUCUUCAUGUUAAUGGCUAUCAAGUAAAGUGUUACAGCUUUUUCCUUUGUUUGAUGAUGCCCUCACCUCUGCUGUGAAUUUCUCUUUUGCUUACUUUCUAUGUUCGUCUGGGACACAGUCUAUUUCUUGCAUUUGAUGUUCAACUGAAAC